rnacentral:misc_RNA from 1 species
UGGACUACUGGGGUUUCUAAUCCCGUUUGCUCCCCUGGCUUUCGCGCCUCAGCGUCAGAAAGGAUCCAGCACACCGCUUUCGCCACCGGAGUUCCUAUGGAUAUCAACGCAUUUCACCGCUCCACCCACAGUUCCGUGUGCCCCUAUCCUCCUCGAGACCAUCAGUAUCCGAGGCCGUUCUCCAGUUGAGCUGGAGGAUUUCACCCCGGACUUGAUAGCCCGCCUACGCGCCCUUUAAGCCCAGUGAUUCCGAACAACGUUCGCACGGUUCGUCUUACCGCGGCUGCUGGCACC